GCCGGAGUAGCUUAAUGGUAAAGCAGGCGCCUGAAGAGCGUCUGAACGCAGUUCGAUUCUGCGCUCCGGCACAA
rnacentral:tRNA from 1 species